AUAUGAUGGAAAUUAAAUUUAUGUUUACCUUUGUUAUCUUUUCUUAAUUCAGCGAGAAUUGCAUGACUUUGGUAUUGUAAAGAGGAAGCCCAAGCAAAUAAUAGGACUCCUACAAUAUGGUGCCAAGUGAUAAAGUUUCCACUCAUGUGGACGUAAGCGGGACCUGGAAAUAACAUUAUAAUAUCACUGGCAAAGCCUGGAGCCUCUGUUAAAACUGAGAGACCAACACCAAAAUAAAAAGAGAAACCAAAAAUGUAAUGGACUAUGUUCAUCUUGGCAUCCGAGUAAACACUUAAAAAUAUACAUUCGCACAACCGGCGACUCACUUGGACAAUGAUUAAAGCCAUGGCAAUCAUCACCGAUUCUGGGGUCACUAUUGAUCAAUUGGAAAAAGACAAUUUGUUAUUCAAAUAUACACGGAUGAGUUAUAUCAAUCUAAUGUUCCAGGAAUUUUGAACCUAU